UAGGAACAAUUUUCUUGCAGGAACAGCAAAAAAGAUGCAUAUGCCUUAAUUGCAACUUGCAAGAAGAGCAAAGAGAUGCAUCUGCCCUCAUCACCGCGUCCGCAAGAGCCGCGACAGAGGUUGCGGGCAUCUGCAGCAAAGGUUGCGGGCAUCUGCAGCAAUCCGCAUGCCGCCGUUGGCUUUUGCGGGGCUUACGCGGCAGCCCGCAUGUGUCCACGUCAAGUCACCCGGCCAGCCUUGCAUCCACUUUCUUCUACCUCCAGCUCUCUCCACGCCGUGACUUCUCUGCUUCUCCCAUCUCUGUUCCAAGAAAAACAACGAAGCUAGUGCCGCCGCCGCCGCCGGUGUGGGCAUCUUUGGAUGAGCCCGCGGCAGUCCAGCGUCCCUCGAGGCCUCCUCCAUGGCCGUCCUGCGCGAGUCCCACGCCUCCGCCUUCCUCUGCACGCAUCGUGCUCGGACCCAUCCAAUUCGGUUUCACCAGCGGCUUCUCCUCGCUCACCCAGGACGCCAUGGUUCGGGACCUCAGACUCCAAGGGCUUCGUAGAUCAAAUGGUGCCUGCUGUCGGUCAGAAGCAUCUCGGGGUUGGAAUUGAGCAGGCGUGCCAUGUAUUGGAUAUUGCACAUGUGCGCUCAAUAUGAAGCCUUAAUACUGAGUCCCUCCUCUCAUGUUGUGAUGGUGGUAGUUCUUCCUCUCCCUCUGAUUCUCCCCAGCCUCCUACUUUUUCUCUUUCUUCUCCUUCUUGUUGUUUGGGUGGUGGUGAUGGUGGUGGAUGCAUGUUGUUGUUCUACUUCUUCUAAUUCUCCUCCUCCUUGUCAUUGUUGUUGUGGUGGUAGUGGUUCUAAUCCUCC